GGGGAUUUAGCUCAGUGGUAGAGCACUUGCCUAGCAAGCACAAGGCCCUAGGUUCGACCCCCAGCUCCG
rfam:Rattus norvegicus chromosome 1, whole genome shotgun sequence.